rnacentral:lncRNA from 1 species
AGAUAAAUCAGCCACCUCCAGGAGGUUAAGAUUUCGGGCUGUGUUUGGACUAUAAGGACUGGAUCCCACUGCUGUGCACUGGAGUCUCACAGCCCAGACUGGAUCACAGAGCUGUGCACUGGAGUGUCAGAUCCCAGACUGGACCACACUGCUGAGCACAGGAGUGUCAGAUCCCAGACUGGAUCACAGCACUGUGCACAGGAGUCCAACAGCCCGGACUGGAUCACAUUGCUGAGCACAGGAGUGUCAGAUCCCAGACUGGAUCACAGCACUGUGCACAGGAGUCCAACAGCCCGGACUGGAUCACAUUGCUGUGCACCGGAGUGUCAGAUCCCAAACUGGAUCACACUGCUGUGCGCCGGGAGUCUCACAACCUGGACUGGAUCACAGAGCUGUGCACUGAAUUGUCAGAUCCCAGACUGGAUCACAGCGCUGUGCACUGGAGUGUCAGAUCCCGGACUGGAUCACACUGCUGUGCACUGGAGUGUCAGAUCCCAGACUGGAUCAGAGCACUGUGCACUGUAGUGUCAGAUUCCAG